GACGAACGCUGGCGGCGUGCCUAAUACAUGCAAGUAGAACGCUGAAGCGAGGAGCUUGCUCUUCUUGGAUGAGUUGCGAACGGGUGAGUAACGCGUAGGUAACCUGCCUUGUAGCGGGGGAUAACUAUUGGAAACGAUAGCUAAUACCGCAUAACAAUGGAUGACACAUGUCAUUUAUUUGAAAGGGGCAAUUGCUCCACUACAAGAUGGACCUGCGUUGUAUUAGCUAGUAGGUGAGGUAAUGGCUCACCUAGGCGACGAUACAUAGCCGACCUGAGAGGGUGAUCGGCCACACUGGGACUGAGACACGGCCCAGACUCCUACGGGAGGCAGCAGUAGGGAAUCUUAGGCAAUGGGGGCAACCCUGACCGAGCAACGCCGCGUGAGUGAAGAAGGUUUUCGGAUCGUAAAGCUCUGUUGUAAGUCAAGAACGGGUGUGAGAGUGGAAAGUUCACACUGUGACGGUAGCUUACCAGAAAGGGACGGCUAACUACGUG
rnacentral:rRNA from 1 species